UAGGGAAUAUUCGGCAAUGGAAGGAAGUCUGACCGAGCAACGCCGCGUGAGUGAAGAAGGGGUGCGGAUAGGAAAGAGCGGUUGUUAGAGAAGAACGGUGGGAGGAGUGGAAAAGCUAACAAGGGAAGGGAACUAACCAGAAAGGGACGGCGAACGACGUGCCAGCAGCCGCGGUAAUACGUAGGUCCCGAGCGUUGUCCGGAUUUAUUGGGCGUAAAGCGAGCGCAGGCGGUUCUUUAAGUCUGAAGUUAAAGGCAGUGGCUUAACCAUUGUACGCUUUGGAAACUGGAGGACUUGAGUGCAGAAGGGGAGAGUGGAAUUCCAUGUGUAGCGGUGAAAUGCGUAGAUAUAUGGAGGAACACCGGUGGCGAAAGCGGCUCUCUGGUCUGUAACUGACGCUGAGGCUCGAAAGCGUGGGGAGCAAACAGG
rnacentral:rRNA from 1 species